rnacentral:rRNA from 1 species
UACGGAGGGUGCAAGCGUUAUCCGGAUUUAUUGGGUUUAAAGGGUCCGUAGGCGGACUAUUAAGUCAGUGGUGAAAGCCCUCUGCUCAACAGAGGAACUGCCAUUGAUACUGAUAGUCUUGAGUACAAGUGAGGUUGGCGGAAUGUGUGGUGUAGCGGUGAAAUGCUUAGAUAUCGUCAAGAACACCUAUAGCGAAGGCAGCUUACUAGGCUGUAACUGACGCUGAGGCACGAAAGUGUGGGGAUCAAACAGG